AGUGAAUAGAUACCCGGGUAGUCCACGCCCUAAACGAUGGAUACUAGGCGUAAGAGGUAUCGACCCCUCUUGUGCCGCAGCUAAACGCAUUAAGUAUCCCGCCUGGGGAGUACGGCCGCAAGGUUGAAACUCAAAUGAAUUGACGGGGACCCGCACAAGCGGUGGAGCAUGUGGAUUAAUUCGAUACUAACCGAAGAACCUUACCCAGACUUGACAUCGAUCGCAAGCCUUAGAAACUAGGGCCCUCCCCGACAAGGGGACGUGAAGACACUUGUUGCAUGGCUGUCGUCAGCUCGUGCCGUGAGGUGUACGGUUAAGUCCGCCAACGAGCGCAACCCUCGUCCUGUGUUACCAGCAUGAAACGAUGGGAA
rnacentral:rRNA from 1 species